CACAAAACGCUGUGCCAUGAUGAAUUAUUUAGCUCUGCUGAAUCAAAAAAAAAUACAGCAACAGGCUCCUAUUUUGACAGGGCAACAUGUAAUUGAUCUUCUGGAUGAAAUCUGAACCAGCAGAAAGAAUGUUGCCUGCUUGGCAUAUUGCUUAAUUUGUUCAUUCAUUAACUUGGCAAAAUGCUACCAGUGCUACUGUCCACCAUCAGUGGCUUGCAAAGGAGCCUAACAUUCUCUCCAGUCCUCUUUGCAGCUUCAUCCUCAACAAGAAGAAUCACCUUAACAGCUCUGUCAGCUUGUAAAUCCAAGGCAGGACAGAAUGAGGAAUUCCCAUGUCAGUGUCUCCUGAGUGUAGCUAACAUCUUUGCAUCGGCCAGCUGCAAAUACAGAUGAAUUAGUAAACACAGAACUCAUUUACAGUCAAGAGACUACAAGAAUGUGAAGACCUUACAAAGUCACUGUAAAGAUAUACGACAUAAUUCAAAGGCAGACGGCGAAUGAUUAAAAAGAAGAAAAAUAAAUCAUCUUUUUUGUCAGAGAUAAAUACCACAGUAUUGAAGCACAACAGUGAAGAAGCAUUGGUGGCUUCAGCAGAAAAAAUA